GAUGAACGCUGGCGGCGUGCCUAAUACAUGCAAGUCGAGCGAACAGACGAGGAGCUUGCUCCUCUGACGUUAGCGGCGGACGGGUGAGUAACACGUGGAUAACCUACCUAUAGACUGGGAUAACUUCGGGAAACCGGAGCUAAUACCGGAUAAUAUAUUGAACCGCAUGGUUCAAUAGUGAAAGACGGUUUUGCUGUCACUUAUAGAUGGAUCCGCGCCGCAUUAGCUAGUUGGUAAGGUAACGGCUUACCAAGGCAACGAUGCGUAGCCGACCUGAGAGGGUGAUCGGCCACACUGGAACUGAGACACGGUCCAGACUCCUACGGGAGGCAGCAGUAGGGAAUCUUCCGCAAUGGGCGAAAGCCUGACGGAGCAACGCCGCGUGAGUGAUGAAGGUCUUCGGAUCGUAAAACUCUGUUAUUAGGGAAGAACAAAUGUGUAAGUAACUAUGCACGUCUUGACGGUACCUAAUCAGAAAGCCACGGCUAACUACGUG
rnacentral:rRNA from 1 species